CAUUCACGGGAGAUUACAGGGCCAGGUUAGACUCUGCAGUAUGUUGAACCCAAACGAACGGUUUAUACUCGUAUUGGUGUUUACUACGAAUGGGAGUGGCAGAGAUUAGGGCCCUGAGUUUUUCAUUUAUAGGUCAGGUUUAACAAUAUUCUGCAGCAUAUAUUGAAAGCCACCUCAUUCCCAGCCGGCAAUUACACGAUUGCAGUGAUCUGCGUGUCGAAGUACAGUCAGUUUGUGAGCAGAACUUGGACAGCUGACGAAUAAAUUGGUCGUGCGUGUGAGUCAUCACUUCGUUUGUAUUACGUAUAAUUUCUGUGAGGUACAACGUCGCCGUUAAUGAAGGAAACGAAAGGAAGACGGAAAAAUGAGCAUUAUAUUUGACACUACACACAAAGUGAUCUUCUGCAGUUCAAGUGAUUGUCGACAGCAGUUUCCUCGAUUUUUAAGGAAAAAUUUGUAUCCGUAUGAAAGGGUGUCAACAUCUGUAUUGCCAGGAAGCGAAGUAUUGUACUUU